rnacentral:rRNA from 1 species
UACGGAGGGUGCGAGCGUUGUCCGGAAUCACUGGGCGUAAAGAGCGCGUAGGCGGUCCGAUAAGUCGGCUGUGAAAGUCAGGGGCUCAACCCUUGAAAGCCGGCCGAUACUGUCGGACUAGAGUCCGGAAGAGGCAAGUGGAAUUCCCGGUGUAGCGGUGAAAUGCGCAGAUAUCAGGAGGAACACCAAUGGCGAAGGCGGUUCUCUGGGACGGUACUGACGCUGAGACGCGAAAGCGUGGGGAGCGAACAGG